rfam:Parcubacteria bacterium GW2011_GWC2_42_12 TT95_C0009, whole genome shotgun sequence.
CAGGGUAAGUGGAUGAUCGCCCAGCCCCAGUUUUUUUAGAUAAAUAAUAUUGAAAUUUUCAUUUUAAAUAAGAUAAUUACCUUUUUUAUCUAUAAAAACUGGAGCUGGGAGGAAAGUCCGGACUCUGAAAGUACUUUAGUACUGGAAAACGGCAAUGGCUAACGGCCAUCGGGAGUAAUCUUAGGGAAAGUGCCACAGAGACAAUAAUAACCAUUGCUUCGCAAUGGAAUUUUCAAUUUUAAAUUUAUAAUUUUCAAUGAAUGAAAUAGAUUGAGAAUUGCGUUGUGAAGCAAUGGCCAAAGGUGAAAAGUGUUCCGAUGUUUGGGUUAUAAAGGAUAUCCGAUUAACUUAAGCUACGGGAUUCGUCCUCUGGCGACAGAGAGACGCGGCAAACCCUGCCUGGAGCAAGAGCAAACUACGCGCGUUUAAAAACACGCGUAACGAAAAGUGGCUCGCUUGAGCUGCGCGGUGACGCGUGGCCCAGAUAGAUGAUCAUCGCCCGCCGGUAAAAUGGCGGCGUACAGAAUCCGGCUUAUAGCUUGCCCUGAUAU